rnacentral:rRNA from 1 species
GACGACGCUGGCGGCGUGCUUAACACAUGCAAGUCGAACGAGUGGCGAACGGGUGAGUAAUGUCUGGGAAACUGCCUGAUGGAGGGGGAUAACUACUGGAAACGGUAGCUAAUACCGCAUACCAUCAGAUGUGCCCAGAUGGGAUUAGCUAGUAGGUGGGGUAAUGGCUCACCUAGGCGACGAUCCCUAGCUGGUCUGAGAGGAUGACCAGCCACACUGGAACUGAGACACGGUCCAGACUCCUACGGGAGGCAGCAGUGGGGAAUAUUGCACAAUGGGCGCAAGCCUGAUGCAGCCAUGCCGCGUGUGUGAAGAAGGCCUUCGGGUUGUAAAGCACUUUCAGCGAGGAGGCGUUACUCGCAGAAGAAGCACCGGCUAACUCCGUGCCAGCAGCCGCGGUAAUAC